GCGCUCGCUUUGGCAGCGCAUAUACUAAAAUUGGACCCAUACAGAGAAGAUUAGCGUAGCCCCUGCGCAAGGAUGAUGCACAAAUUCGUGAAGCGUUCUAUAUUUAA
ensembl:snRNA U6 U6 spliceosomal RNA